UACAGGGGGGGCAAGCGUUGUUCGGAAUUACUGGGCGUAAAGGGUUCGUAGGUGGCUUACUAAGUCAGACGUGAAAUCCCUCAGCUUAACUGGGGAACUGCGUCUGAUACUGGAAAGCUUGAGUGCAGGAGAGGAACGCGGAAUUCCAGGUGUAGCGGUGAAAUGCGUAGAUAUCUGGAGGAACACCGGUGGCGAAGGCGGCGUUCUGGACUGCAACUGACACUGAGGAACGAAAGUGUGGGGAGCGAACAGG
rnacentral:rRNA from 1 species